rnacentral:rRNA from 1 species
AUUGAACGCUGGCGGCAGGCCUAACACAUGCAAGUCGAACGAGUGGCGGACGGGUGAGUAAUGUCUGGGAAACUGCCCGCUGGAGGGGGGUAACUACUGGAAACGGUAGCUAAUACCGCAUAUCAUCGGAUGUGCCCAGAUGGGAUUGGCUAGUAGGUGGGGUAACGGCUCACCUAGGCGACGGUCCCUAGCUGGUUUGAGAGGAUGACCAGCCACACGGGAACUGAGAAACGGUCCAGACUCCUGCGGGAGGCAGCAGUGGGGAAUAUUGCACAAUGGGCGAAAGCCUGAUGCAGCCAUGCCGCGUGUAUGAAGAAGGCCUUCGGGUUGUAAAGUACUUUCAGCGAGGAGGCGUUACUCGCAGAAGAAGCACCGGCUAACUCCGUGCCAGCAGCCGCGGUAAUAC